GGCUAAACAUAUUACCGAAGCUGUGGAUUGUCCUUUGGACAAUGGUAGGAGAGCGUUCUAAGGGCGUUGAAGCAUGAUCGCAAGGACAUGUGGAGCGCUUAGAAGUGAGAAUGCCGGUGUGAGUAGCGAAAGACGGGUGAGAAUCCCGUCCACCGAUUGACUAAGGUUUCCAGAGGAAGGCUCGUCCGCUCUGGGUUAGUCGGGUCCUAAGCUGAGGCCGACAGGCGUAGGCGAUGGAUAACAGGUUGAUAUUCCUGUACCACCUAUAAUCGUUUUAAUCGAUGGGGGGACGCAGUAGGAUAGGCGAAGCGUGCGAUUGGAUUGCACGUCUAAGCAGUAAGGCUGAGUAUUAGGCAAAUCCGGUACUCGUUAAGGCUGAGCUGUGAUGGGGAGAAGACAUUGUGUCUUCGAGUCGUUGAUUUCACACUGCCGAGAAAAGCCUCUAGAUAGAAAAUAGGUGCCCGUACCGCAAACCGACACAGGUAGUCAAGAUGAGAAUUCUAAGGUGAGCGAGCGAACUCUCGUUAAGGAACUCGGCAAAAUGACCCCGUAACUUCGGGAGAAGGGGUGCUCUUUAGGGUUAACGCCCAGAAGAGCCGCAGUGAAUAGGCCCAAGCGACUGUUUAUCAAAAACACAGGUCUCUGCUAAACCGUAAGGUGAUGUAUAGGGGCUGACGCCUGCCCGGUGCUGGAAGGUUAAGAGGAGUGGUUAGCUUCUGCGAAGCUACGAAUCGAAGCCCCAGUAAACGGCGGCCGUAACUAUAACGGUCCUAAGGUAGCGAAAUUCCUUGUCGGGUAAGUUCCGACCCGCACGAAAGGCGUAACGAUUUGGGCACUGUCUCAACGAGAGACUCGGUGAAAUCAUAGUACCUGUGAAGAUGCAGGUUACCCGCGACAGGACGGAAAGACCCCGUGGAGCUUUACUGUAGCCUGAUAUUGAAAUUCGGCACAGCUUGUACAGGAUAGGUAGGAGCCUUUGAAACGUGAGCGCUAGCUUACGUGGAGGCGCUGGUGGGAUACUACCCUAGCUGUGUUGGCUUUCUAACCCGCACCACUUAUCGUGGUGGGAGACAGUGUCAGGCGGGCAGUUUGACUGGGGCGGUCGCCUCCUAAAAGGUAACGGAGGCGCUCAAAGGUUCCCUCAGAAUGGUUGGAAAUCAUUCAUAGAGUGUAAAGGCAUAAGGGAGCUUGACUGCGAGACCUACAAGUCGAGCAGGGUCGAAAGACGGACUUAGUGAUCCGGUGGUUCCGCAUGGAAGGGCCAUCGCUCAACGGAUAAAAGCUACCCCGGGGAUAACAGGCUUAUCUCCCCCAAGAGUUCACAUCGACGGGGAGGUUUGGCACCUCGAUGUCGGCUCAUCGCAUCCUGGGGCUGUAGUCGGUCCCAAGGGUUGGGCUGUUCGCCCAUUAAAGCGGUACGCGAGCUGGGUUCAGAACGUCGUGAGACAGUUCGGUCCCUAUCCGUCGUGGGCGUAGGAAAUUUGAGAGGAGCUGUCCUUAGUACGAGAGGACCGGGAUGGACAUACCUCUGGUGUACCAGUUGUCGUGCCAACGGCAUAGCUGGGUAGCUAUGUGUGGACGGGAUAAGUGCUGAAAGCAUCUAAGCAUGAAGCCCCCCUCAAGAUGAGAUUUCCCAACUUCGGUUAUAAGAUCCCUCAAAGAUGAUGAGG
rnacentral:rRNA from 1 species